rnacentral:rRNA from 1 species
AGAGUUUGAUCCUGGCUCAGGACGAACGCUGGCGGCGUGCUUAACACAUGCAAGUCGAACGAGAAGAGAAGGAAGCUUGCUUCUUUCAAAUCUAGUGGCAAACGGGUGAGUAACACGUAAACAACCUGCCUUCAGGAUGGGGACAACAGACGGAAACGACUGCUAAUACCGAAUACGUUCCUUAGGUCGCAUGAUCUUGGGAAGAAAGGGUGGCCUCUACCUGUAAGCUAUCGCCUGAAGAGGGGUUUGCGUCUGAUUAGGUAGUUGGUGAGGUAACGGCCCACCAAGCCGACGAUCAGUAGCCGGUCUGAGAGGAUGAACGGCCACACUGGAACUGAGACACGGUCCAGACUCCUACGGGAGGCAGCAGUGGGGAAUCUUCCGCAAUGGGCGAAAGCCUGACGGAGCAACGCCGCGUGAGUGAUGACGGCCUUCGGGUUGUAAAGCUCUGUGAUCGGGGACGAACGGUCGGCAGACGAAUAAUCUGCUGAAUUGACGGUACCCGAAUAGCAAGCCACGGCUAACUACGUGCCAGCAGCCGCGGUAAUACGUAGGUGGCAAGCGUUGUCCGGAAUUAUUGGGCGUAAAGCGCGCGCAGGCGGCUUCUUAAGUCCAUCUUAAAAGUGCGGGGCUUAACCCCGUGAUGGGAUGGAAACUGAGAGGCUGGAGUAUCGGAGAGGAAAGUGGAAUUCCUAGUGUAGCGGUGAAAUGCGUAGAGAUUGGGAGGAACACCAGUGGCGAAGGCGACUAACUGGACUGUAACUGACGCUGAGGCGCGAAAGUGUGGGGAGCAAACAGGAUUAGAUACCCUGGUAGUCCACACUGUAAACGAUGAAUGCUAGGUGUAGGGGGUAUCGACCCCUUCUGUGCCGCAGUCAACACAAUAAGCAUUCCGCCUGGGGAGUACGGCCGCAAGGUUGAAACUCAAAGGAAUUGACGGGGGCCCGCACAAGCAGCGGAGCAUGUGGUUUAAUUCGACGCAACGCGAAGAACCUUACCAGGUCUUGACAUCCACUUAAACUUACAGAGAUGUAAGGUGUGCUUGCACAAAGUGAGACAGGUGGUGCAUGGUUGUCGUCAGCUCGUGUCGUGAGAUGUUGGGUUAAGUCCCGCAACGAGCGCAACCCUUAUCUUCAGUUACUAACGCGUAGAGGUGAGGACUCUGGCCAGACUGCCGUUGACAAAACGGAGGAAGGUGGGGAUGACGUCAAAUCAUCAUGCCCUUUAUGACUUGGGCUACACACGUACUACAAUGGCGUUAAACAAAGAGAAGCAAGACCGCGAGGUGGAGCAAAACUCAGAAACAACGUCCCAGUUCGGACUGCAGGCUGCAACUCGCCUGCACGAAGUCGGAAUUGCUAGUAAUCGUGGAUCAGCAUGCCACGGUGAAUACGUUCCCGGGCCUUGCACACACCGCCCGUCA